GAGUGGUAGUUCAGUUGGUUAGAAUACCGGCCUGUCACGCCGGGGGUCGCGGGUUCGAGUCCCGUCCACU
rnacentral:tRNA from 1 species